rnacentral:hammerhead_ribozyme from 1 species
CACUGCUGAGGAGUCCCACAACAGGACGAAACGGCCGUUCAGUGG